rnacentral:rRNA from 1 species
CUCGCGCGUUGAGAACGCGGGGUGACCUACCUCCGAGUGGGGGAUAACGUCCCGAAAGGGACGCUAAUACCGCAUGACAUCCUGCCCUUGAACGGGUGGAGAUCAAAGCUGGGGAUCGCAAGACCCGGCGCUUGAAGAGGGGCCCGCGUCCGAUUAGCUAGUUGGUGAGGUAACGGCUCACCAAGGCGACGAUCGGUAUCCGGCCUGAGAGGGCGGACGGACACACUGGGACUGAGACACGGCCCAGACUCCUACGGGA